AGAGGCUGGAGGGUCCCUGUGAGCUCCUCGCCUGCACCUCAAGUGGUCUUCCCACCACAUUUUCUGCAUGGAAACAACUUGGUUUCUUUACAGUGAAUAACUGGAGAGUUCUCAGUCUCUCCAUCAGCUGUGGGUUUAGGGAAGAUGAUUUUCAUUUAGCACGUUUAUCUUUGUGUGGAUUCUCUAAGACAGAAAGGACUAGACAGACAACAAGGCACAUGCCUUUAACUCCAACACUUGGGAGACUGAGGCAGGAGGAUCUCGAGUUUGAGGCCAUCCUGGACUUUAUAGUGAGACUCUGUAUUAAAAUUCAGAAAAUCAAAUCAAACCAGAAGAAUGGCAGGGGCUGAGUCAGAGCCACACAGCCCAUGUGACAGACACUAACUCUUUAGACAUGAACCUCACCCGACUAGAUAUUGUUCUUGGUUUGCCCUGCCCUGCCCCUGAUCUGGGGGUUGUCCCAGGUCUGGCAUCAUUUGACCCAUUUAGCUUGUUAUUUGGCCCAUA
rnacentral:lncRNA from 1 species